rnacentral:misc_RNA from 1 species
CGCACCUUGCGCUCCUUGGUAUUCCGAGGAGCAUGCCUGUUUGAGUGUCGUGUAAUUCUCAACCUAUAAAUCCUUGCGGUUUGUAGGCUUGGACUUGGAGGCUUUUGCCGGCUUUACGGUCGGCUCCUCUCAAAUGCAUUAGCUUGAUUCCUUGUGGAUCGGCUCUCGGUGUGAUAAUUAUCUGCGCCGUAGCCGUGAUACGUUUAGCAAGCUUCUAACCGUCUCUUUGAGACAAUUACUUUGACAUCUGACCUCAAAUCAGGUAGGACUACCCGCUGAACUUAA